UACGUAGGGCGCGAGCGUUGUCCGGAUUUAUUGGGCGUAAAGAGCUCGUAGGCGGCUUGUCGCGUCGAAUGUGAAAACCUGCAGCUCAACUGCAGGCUUGCAUUCGAUACGGGCAGACUAGAGUUCGGUAGGGGAGACUGGAAUUCCUGGUGUAGCGGUGAAAUGCGCAGAUAUCAGGAGGAACACCGGUGGCGAAGGCGGGUCUCUGGGCCGAAACUGACGCUGAGGAGCGAAAGCGUGGGGAGCAAACAGG
rnacentral:rRNA from 1 species